rnacentral:rRNA from 1 species
UACGUAGGGGCAAGCGUUGUCCGGAAUGAUUGGGCGUAAAGGGCGCGUAGGCGGCUCUGUAAGUCUGGAGUGAAAGUCCUCUUUUCAAGGGAGGAAUUGCUUUGGAAACUAUAGAGCUUGAGUGCAGGAGAGGUUAUCGGAAUUCCCGGUGUAGCGGUGAAAUGCGUAGAGAUCGGGAGGAACACCAGUGGCGAAGGCGGGUAACUGGACUGCAACUGACGCUGAGGCGCGAAAGUGUGGGGAGCAAACAGGAUUAGAUACCCCUGUAGUCCCUGA